rnacentral:sRNA from 1 species
GCUGGGCGCGGUGAUGCCCGCCUGUAAUCCCAGCAACUCAGGAGGCUGAGGCAGGAGGAUUGCGAGUACAAAGCCAACCUCAG